UACGUAGGGGCUAGCGUUGUCCGGAAUCAUUGGGCGUAAAGAGCGUGUAGGCGGCCCGGUAAGUCCGCUGUGAAAGUCGGGGCUCAACCCUGGGAUGCCGGUGGAUACUGCCGAACUAGAGUGCGGAAGAGGCGAGUGGAAUUCCCGGUGUAGCGGUGAAAUGCGCAGAUAUCGGAGGAACACCAAUUGCGAAGCAGCUCGCUGGGACGUGAACUGACGCUGAGACGCGAAGCGUGGGAGCAAACAGG
rnacentral:rRNA from 1 species